rnacentral:tRNA from 1 species
GGUCGACCUGGCCGGGCCCGGGGCGCGGUGCCGGUUCCCAGCCGGUGGCGGUCGGCGCACCGUUCGUCAACGACGGGUAGUCCGC